rnacentral:pre_miRNA from 1 species
AAUAAGUGUAGCUUUACACUAUUCAUCUUCAACGUUUCACCGUUUGUCUUAUGUGAAAAAUUGACUAUUUUUUUAAAAAAAUUCAUAAUCAAAUAAGAUGGACGGUCAAACGUUGGACAUGGAUUUCUACGGCUGCAUUUAUU